rnacentral:rRNA from 1 species
GAUGAACGCUGGCGGCAUGCCUAAUACAUGCAAGUCGAGCGAACAGAUGAAGUGCUUGCACUUCUGACGUUAGCGGCGAACGGGUGAGUAACACGUAAGGAAUCUACCUAUAAGCGGGGGAUAACAUUCGGAAACGGGUGCUAAUACCGCAUAAUAUCUUCUUCCGCAUGGAAGAAGAUUGAAAGACGGCUCUGCUGUCACUUAUAGAUGACCUUGCGGUGCAUUAGUUAGUUGGUGGGGUAACGGCCUACCAAGACGAUGAUGCAUAGCCGGCCUGAGAGGGUGAUCGGCCACAUUGGGACGUAGACACGGCCCAAACUCCUACGGGAGGCAGCAGUAGGGAAUCUUCCGCAAUGGGCGAAAGCCUGACGGAGCAAUGCCGCGUGAGUGAAGGAGGCCUUCGGGUCGUAAAACUCUGUUAUAAGAGAAGAACAAAUUGUAGAGUAACUGCUACAGUCUUGACGGUAUCUUAUCAGAAAGCCACGGCUAACUACGUGCCAGCCGCCGCCGUAA